rnacentral:miRNA from 1 species
UUACUGAACUUUGCAAAAAGUUCCUAGGAGGUCACUCAACUUUGCAAAUUGAAACCCCAUACAUCACUGAUUUAGUAACCUCCUAGGAACUUUUUUGCAAAGUUCAGUA